CCGCCUUCUUAAGGGCGCGCGGCCGGGCCGAGGCGCAGCUCGCGGACAGCUGUUCGCGUAAGACUCUGCUAACGGCCUUUGUGUUCCGUUCUUUUUCCUUUUUAUUUUUCAUUUUAAGUGGGGCAGCUGUAUUCAUUCUCUCCGAUCGCCCCCAUCCUUGCCUUCGGCGGGAUUCAGAAGUCAGUUUAUUUUACAGAUUUUAUCAUUACUGCAGGCGCGCGCGCGGGUUGUGUGUGUGUGGGGGGGGUUCCAUGUAAUUUAAUGUGGAACUUUUGAAACCUGCACACACGUGAACCGUAAGAGAAAGCUGCAGAGAUGCUGAGACAUUUACACACGCACGUGCACACACACUCCUCCGCGUCCGGGUCCCGGCCAGACCAUCGAAAGGUACGGCCCUUGCACCAGGGUCGUUUGGAAAUUGACAGAAAUCUCAUCAACAGGAUCAAUUUCUUAGGCAGUAAAAAAAAUAAUAACAGCCUUAAACCCGAGAGCCCUGGUGAACAGUUCCAUCAGGCCGCAGUCACAGCACGCGGAGAGACUCCCGUCGGGCGCGGUCCGCGCUCCGCCUGGCGCUCUGUGUGCGCUAAGUGUCCGAGCAGCCCCGCUGCCCCACGCCGGACUUCGCGAGCGACCUUAACGGUGGCGCAACGCAGCCUUCGGCCACCAGAGGCAACCGGCGUCAGCGGCUAGUCAAAAACUGGCGCUUUUUUCCUGCUUUCCGUGUAGAGACUAUCAACUCCAUCUGUCACAAAAUCAAGGCUAAAUCUCCCCAGAGGCGGAGGGAGCCGGGCUCCCGCGCGCUCAGAGCUGGGCUGGUUGCUCUCCCCCAAGGCCGAGGGGGUCUGGGAGGGCGGGAGUCAGAGCCGCAGCCACGGGGGUGUGUUGCUGCAGAAAGUGCCCCGUGCGUACGGAGGUGCCCAGCCUCGGGGCGCCAGGGCAGCGGGAACCCGGGCUCUGCGAGCUGCAGCGCAAAGCCGAACCUCGCAGAGCCAGGCUGAGAAAUGACAGAUGGAAAAGAUAAUGUAGUCCUUGGCCAGAGCCACCUUGAGAAUCGCUGUGCUAUAUAUACUUGCAAAAAGAAGUGUGAACACAGUUACUUCGUUUGGCUUUGGAGGAGUGCCAUAAGUGACAUAAAUAAUAACUACGGAAAUGAAAAUGGAAGUCUUCAGAUGGAGCCCUAAGAGGAAAAGGGCAUUUACUUCUUGCUUACUCGGUGUGUUGUUGUUGGUAAACAUAAUCCUUUGAGAACUGCCAACUGUCUCAAGUCCAGAAGGUGACAAACAGGAGAAUGAGAACCAAUGUGCUGAUGAUGGUAGCAGGGGUGGCUACAAGGAGUCAGGAUCCUUGGUGACAUCGUGUAAUUACUGACCUUACUGACUGACUCUAUGAUGCUCGUUCCCGACCUGUUUGAUGAGAAAUAACAUCUGGAAAGAGCCAAAGAAGUACCUGCAUUUAGUAAGCACUUGGCAAUCACACAGCUCACAUUUGUUACAGUUGUUGAUCUAUAGGCUCUCUGAGAAGCAAUGGGGUCCUCAGCAAAGAGAAGCAUCCUCAGGGUACAGUCAUGAUGUGCAGGAUGAACAUUUCAGUUUCCAGUCUUGUCAUAGAGGGCAGCCAUGAUUCCCUACCCGUGUUCCUGAUGGCCACAUAUCUGGCAAAGUAUGGAGUUGGGCUUAUUGCUGUAUUGUAUCAUCUCUCAAUUCAUGCACAUUUUUAUUCUUUCAUUUAUUCAUUCCUUGAGAGUACUGAGCACCAGGAACGGAGUUGCUACAGGAGAGCUAAAGUGGAACCCAAUGAAACAGUGAUUGGCUGAUGAAAUCUAUCAUGACUGCCAGACACAAAGAAAUGGACUUUCCUGGUGCUGGAAUUCAAGAGAAAGACCUCCAGAAAAGGGAGAGGCCCUGCCGACUCCAAGAUGGGAAAGGAAGGCAGGGGUCCAGGACAAGGUGAACUCCACACCUUUUCCAUUCUUCCUCUACCACAUGAAAAACUUUUUCCAAGGGGUGUAGUUAUUUGUUGCAAACCACACCUAUUGUUCUUUCCCAUUAAAAGAAAAUAUUUCCAAUUCAUUUGAGGGAUUUAAACUGUAGUAAAGUUUUCAGUGUUUACAAAGCCAUCUAAUACCCUCCACUAUGCUUUAGAAUUAAAUAUAAUCCUCUAAUUUAUGUUUAUUUUCUUCUGAGAUGAAUUUGACUGGUCUUUUAAAAUGUGAAAAUCCUUCACAAUUUUCUGGAAAAUUCUUGGGCACAAAUACUUUUUAUCUUUUUGCCUGUUUCAUUGUCUUUGGUCCUUUUUGAAUAUUGACUUGGUUUUAUAAACCAAGAAGCUUUUACUUUAUCUAUUUGUUGUGGUCUCAAGACAUCCUAAGUACAGUUGGGUGUGGUGGUCCAUAGCUGGAAUCCCAGCUUCUGGGAAGCUGAGGAAGAAGGAUCACAAAUUCUAACCCAG
rnacentral:lncRNA from 1 species